UGCAACAGUCUUUUUCUCUCACGAAUAAUAUUUUGUUCUUUAUAUGUAAGAUGUAUUGUUUAUGUAAUUUGUAUGUAAACAAAUGUAUGGUGCAGUCGAUCAAUUAUCAUAAUAAGAUCCAAAUAAAAGCUUAUCAGAAAAGACUUGUCCUUGUAAUGCAUAUGAUUGGUUCAACUUAGUGAGUGUGUGCUUUAGUGGGUCGACACGAAUCCUUUCAUUUCCUUUAUAUCUUUUUUGUCAACCAUCCAUUUAUUUUUUUUGUUUUGUUUUUCACAUAAAUUAACUAUGUGUUUUUCUGCCAGUAAUAAUUUUAAAAUUUUAUAUUUAUAUUUAAAAUAAAUUUUUAUUAAAUAUUGAAGAUUUUAUUAUUUUCUUACCAAUAUUUUAAUAUAAAUUGAUUUAAUUAAACAUAAAAUUAAGAUAAACAUAAUUUUUUUAUUUUAAAUUAUAUUUAAGAAUAUUUAUGUAUAUAUAUUUAAAAUUACAAUCUUAAAUGAAAGAAAUUAUCUAUUUCGUUUGGUUAAAUAUAUUAAAUCAAC
rnacentral:lncRNA from 1 species